rnacentral:lncRNA from 10 species
GGAGCCCUGAGAGGCUGUAGGGACGCACAGCCUGCCCUGGGUGCUGUGCCCUGUUCAAGAUGGGCUAUUUCACUUGAUGAGGCGGCCUGGGGCUAGAAAGCUGUUCUUCCCUGCUCCUCCCUUGCACCUGCUGACCGUCACUCUUUGUCUUCCUAGAUUCCACCGAGGAUCUCCAGGAAAAGCCUCCUUGGAAAGUGAAGGAGGCCUGGAGAGAGCAGGAGAGUGGGCUCUCCUGAUGGUGUCCUUUGCCUCCUUCACCACCAAGGAGGGUGGCCCAGCAGCAGCUCAGCCCGUGCUCUCGCCCACCUCCUCCACACACGCCAGCCCUGUGUGCCCAGCACCCAAGGCUGCCAGAGGUCCUUCAGCAGCUCCCACGGCUGACAGUGACUCUAUGUUUCCUAGCGACGGUGACCAAUCAGAUCAUCCCAGAAGCGGUUGUAGCUCGUCGCAAGCGAACAGGAGGACUAGGAGCUCACGUGAAAAGACGUUUCAAGUUUCUUUCAGCAGAGCUUCCUAG